rnacentral:rRNA from 1 species
UAAUACAGAGGUCCCAAGCGUUGUUCGGAUUCACUGGGCGUAAAGGGUGCGUAGGUGGCCAGGUAAGUUCGGUGUGAAAGCUCGGAGCUUAACUCCGAAAUGGCAUUGAAUACUAUCUGGCUAGAGGGUCGGAGGGGAGACUGGAAUUCUCGGUGUAGCAGUGAAAUGCGUAGAUAUCGAGAGGAACACCAGUGGCGAAGGCGAGUCUCUGGACGACUCCUGACACUGAGGCACGAAAGCCAGGGGAGCAAACAGGAUUAGAUACCCUGGUAGUCCUGGCUGUAAACGGUGCACGUUUGCUGUAAAAGGAAUCGACCCCUUUUGUGGCGAAGCUAACGCGAUAAACGUGCCGCCUGGGGAGUACGGUCGCAAGAUUA